rnacentral:rRNA from 1 species
UGCAGUCGAGCGGACAGAUGGGAGCUUGCUCCCUGAUGUUAGCGGCGGACGGSUGAKUAACACGUGGGUAACCUGCCUGUAAGACUGGGAUAACUCCSGGAAACCGGGGCUAAUACCGGAUGSUUGUUUGAACCGCAUGGUUCAGACAUAAAAGGUGGCUUCGGCUACCACUUACAGAUGGACCCGCGGCGCAUUAGCUAGUUGGUGAGGUAACG